GUGCUCACUUUGGCAGCACAUAUACUAAAAUUGGAACAAUGCAGAGAUUAGAAUGGCCCUGCGCAAGGAUGAUGUGCGAAUUUGUGAAGCAAAAACAAACCAA